CAGCCCCAGGUACCACACAUCCUUUUCCUCCUCUGCAUUCUCCUUUUCGACCUUUCUCUUCAUUGUGGCACGCUUGCUGGUGGAUUGUGCUGUGCACACCAGCUGUUUGUGGGAAUGUCUAAGCCAUUGUGCUGUGAUGAUGUGACAGUUUAUUUGUGCAGUAAUUCUUUUGAGAGGGAUCUCCCUAAGGCAUCCGUAAUAUUAAUGUCGUUAGUGUGAGAAUCUAGUCUUUUUCUUGGAUGACGGAGGUUCAUAUCACCAGAAAAUAAAUCAUUUUGUAAUAGCUUCGCCGCUGAAAAAAAAAGUUACAAUAACAUGUGCCGUUUGUUUUCAGCCAGAGUUUUUGAAAACAUGCUUAUGUGUUAUCCAGUCAGUUAUUACAGGAGCCAAAGAUGAAUAGGAGUAGAUUACAAGGUAGUUAAAGUUGUCAUAUUUAUCCUUGCAGCUGCCCAAACGGGAAAACAUGAGAACCAUGUACUAACCAUUUAACUAUUGCAAAGAAAUUUCUAUUUUGUCCUCCAUUUCUUGAAAGAUCUGCCACAUGACAGAAUAAAAAAAACAUCAAUAGUUGUGUUGUCUUCCAAUUGCAAAAGAAAUAUUACUCAUAAAUCACACAAGCCUUCAACUGAAGGCACCGAUAUACAGAGGACCAUAAUGCAUGAAAGAAAUUUGGGUUUAACUCCGUUAUUUGUGAGCCUGUUGAGCCAUAUUCCUUGUUGAUUUGUAACACAUAUGAAAUUUGAACCACGCGUGUCUUCAGAAUUUUUUCUAAGCAUCUGUCCGUGUGGGACAUUCAUAUACUGUAAGGUGGGGCCUAAUUUUCUCUAUGAACUCCUCGAGCUCCUUACUGACACUAUUCAAUUUGAGCACAGUAAGGUUUGGUCGCAACUCACAGAUGCCCAAUGCAACUUCUGGUGAGUAGUUGGAAGUAUUUGAAGAAUUAUCUGCCCAUUUAAUAUCCCCAUCAAGAACUAAGCUCUCAACAUAGCGAAGGCUUGGUGCAGUGAACACAGAUGAUGGAAUCUUGUCCCCAGUCAAUUUCAAAUGCCCAAGGAGCUCUAGCUUCUGGAGAGCACGUUCCAAUGCUACUCCAUGGUUGGCAUCAUUAAAUCCAUGCAACUCCAAAGACUGAAGAUUGGUCAUCAUGUCCAAUGGACAUGUCAGUCCACCCCAAUUUUCCGCAGGUUUUACACCAUGUAGAGUUUGUAGGUUAUUCAGUUCACCAACGGAGUUUGGCAGUUGAAGCUGUGCAGCGAUCACGUGCCGCAAUGUCUUAAUCCUCCAGAAUUUUGGCGCAAUAAUUUUGACUUUGCUGUUCCUUAUGUCUAGGGUCUGCAAGUUGAGGAGCCUUCCAAUGCUUGAUGGGAGAUUCUCCAAAUCACAGCUGGUAACACCUAUGUACCGUAAGUGAAUCAUAUCGCCAAUCGCAUCGGGCAGCUCAGCAAGAUGUAUUCCACCUAUGGAGAUUACCCGAAGGAAUUUAGAGCCACACAGAAACUUUAAUGGGUCUUUCCUUGGUAUGUUCUUUGGGUCAUUCUUCAGGUCCGGUGUAGCGCUGGCACCUUCUCCCUCUUCGACACGACAUAUGAAGGAACGCAGCUUGGGGAAUCUGUUUCCAAAAGGAAUAUAGUUUCCACUGUCAUUCUGAAUGGAAAGGCGGCGCACUGCUGCUGGUGCAAGAACAUCAGUGUUAUCAUGAAUCUCAAUGAAGCUAGCUUCACGAGCCUCUGAUUGCAGGAACCGUAGAAGUCGAUUGUGAACCUGCACUAACUCAAUCUUUUCGCAUUCAUUCCUAUAUUUAACCUCAACUAGGAACCUUGAGAUAAGCUCCUUGAGAUAUUCUUGGGCUAGGUCCUCCAUGUUCUUGCCCUUUUCUGGCUUGAUGAAGCCCUCGGCUAUCCACAUGCGCAUUAUCUGAUCCGCAGGGUGAGUGAUAUUUGUAGGGUAAGCAGCAAAGUAGAGGAAGCAUGAUUUGAGGUCAUGCGGGAGGUCAUCAAAACUUGUUGAGAAGAUCCUCUCAAUUGUCAUUCUAUUGGACAGUUUAGCUUCUGUGGUUGGCAUCAACUGCUGGAGCAAGGCAUCCCACUCAAAGGGCUUUUCUUUCGUCAAGAGAACACCGGCUAUCUUGUUACCUUGACUCUCUCCCGCUUCUACGCCAGGCAUAAGCUGUUGCAGCACUGAAUCCCACUCGACAGGCAUCUCUUUUGACCGUAAUAGUCCUGCCAAAACCACAAUCGCUAGAGGAUGACCCCCAGUUAUCUUAAAGACUUGUUCAUUGUAACUGACUUUAUACCCUCUUGGCUUCGUGUAGUUGUAACCAUAGACCCUGCGACAGAACAGUUCUGCACUUUGGCUUUCAUUCAACCUGCCCAGCUGGAUUGUACUUCCACUAAUGUUUUUGGAAUCAGCAUCUACUUUUUUGUUGAGGGUGUCAGCAUGCUUUGCAACUUCCUGGCUCUCAGGCUCUAAGAUAAGCACCACUCUGCUGCCAUUUCUGUUGUCUGGCAAGCUUGCCUUCACACAAUUAAGCACUGUUAUAGAGUUUAUGCCACCCAGGAUAACUAGAUACCUCUUAUCAUGCAGAAAAGAACGGAGCUUCUUGGUGAUAUCAGUAUCUUCCCCUUCUGAUGAUAGUCAACAUGAGUGUGCUCUUCCCAAUACCAGUCUCCCCCAAUAUGGAAAUGAAUCUUUGCUGUGGAGUAUGUUCAUGAGAAAGGAGAUGAUUCUCCAGUGCCCUCAAGUAACCAUCAAAUCCCACCGGAGCGUCCCCAAUGUUGUCCCUGGAAAUUGAGUUGCAUGAAGGAUUAAAUGAUUGUGGAAUCGGUAAUGACUUCACUAGAUAAUUCAAAUUCAAUUAUAGUCGCAUACCAUGCAGCAACUUCUGUGAUGGAAGAUGUCCAUGCCCCAGAGAUUUGCGUGGUGCAGCCGGUUAAGUAUCUGCGCCAGAUUCUCCAACCACGGUAACCCUGGGCCUCUAGAUCGACCUGCAGUCAUGUAAGAGAACCACCAAUCAUUUGUAACCCAAUGACGUAUAUCACUUCUUUGAACACAUAGCAUCACAUCGUGUUGUUACCAGUAGCUAGAAUUUCUGGCAUAGGAGGUACAAGUACAGUGGGAAAAAUUCACGAACCUGCAGCCAUCCACAUAUGCAUCUACACCAGAUUUGCAUCAUUUACUUACCCCCUAUGUCCUAGUUUGUACUGAAAAAAACUGCCUCCUCCCUAUCUGUUCACAAUUAUCAGCAUUGACAAUGGAUGUCUUGUGUUUCUUCGUUCUUUUA